GGGAGAAAGUGAGCGAGAAGGAAAGGAAAAGAGAUGGUUCACUGGAAGCUGUUAAUAUAGUAGAAGGCAUCCAAACUGACUGCUAUAGUGAGAGGUUCUAUGGCAGAGAGCUGGUGGAGAGAGUGAAUGUGGAGGUGGUGUAUAGAUGGUGUAUGGGUGGUCAGCAUCAGGUAGGCUAGUGUAGGCUAGUGUAAGGGCAUCAGGUAGGCUAGUGUAGGCUAGUGUAAGGGCAUCAGGUAGGCUAGUGUAGGCUAGUGUAGGCUAGUGUAAGGGCAUCAGGUAGGCUAGUGUAGGCUAGUGUAGGCUAGUGUAAGGGCAUCAGGUAGGCUAGUGUAGGCUAGUGUAAGGGCAUCAGGUAGGCUAGUGUAGGCUAGUGUAGGCUAGUGUAAGGGCAUCAGGUAGGCUAGUGUAUGCUAGUGUAGGCUAGUGUAAGGGCAUCAGGUAGGCUAGUGUAGGCUAGUGUAAGGGCAUCAGGUAGGCUAGUGUAGGCUAGUGUAGGCUAGUGUAAGGGCAUCAGGUAGGCAUCCAUAUCAUGGAGCCAUUACCUUCCUACCUUUCCAGCGUAAGUUUCUAAAGAUGUAAAAUGAAAUAUCAAAAUGAUAUGGAAGAUAUUUUUUAAAUGACAUGAUUUCAUUGGCCAGUUCCCACGCCGAUGUUCCAACCCAGUUUCAGUGGAAAGACUAGAGAUUGGCCCCUCAAACUCUGCCUGAAGAUAUUAGACUCUAUGUGUAUGAGUUGGUCUUCACAUAUAGGGCCUGAGUUUAUGCUUCACAUGUGUGUGUGUGAGCAUGGGUGUGUGUGUGUGUGUGUGAGCGUGUGUGUGUGUAAGCGUGUGU